rnacentral:lncRNA from 1 species
UGAAAAAGUGGAGGGAAACCAUAGUUUUUAAAUUCCCACAAAAUUUUCGGCAAAAUUUCUCACGCUCUUUAUCUCUAUUCCCUCGCCACUUUCGAUAUUCUUCUUCAAAUUCCAAUUCCCUCUCUCUCUCGAUUCAGUUUGAACUUCUUCAUAUUUAUAUAUCACAGUUCUCUUUAGAGCGGUUACUAUAUUUAUUAUUAAUCUUGUUGCGGCGGCGGCGCGUGAAAUCUGAGAUGGCGAAAGCAGCUCCAGAGAGUUCAGUACAUCCUAGUCAUCGUGGAAUUGGAUUAGGGCCUCCGAAAGGUGGUGUUGUUGUUGGUGGCGGUGGUGGAUCUAUGGUUAAGCUUAAAAGAAAGACACCUUCUGAACUUAGGGGAGAGCAGUUGAAACGGGCAAGUGUUGUGGACAAUACUGAUGAAUCCCCACUCACCUUGGAUGGUUCUAGUCCUAAUAACAAUACCAAGUUGGAUAAUGGGUUUAAAAAGUCAGGAUUGUCAGGGACCCUGAGCUCACGUGUUGAUGAAGUAUUUCCUGCCAAAAAGUCAAGGUUUAAGAUUGUAUCUGGAAAGGAAAAUGCAAAGGAAAAUGCAUUCGUAGAAAAAAGUAGUAUUUUGAAGAAUAUGUCAGUAUUUGCCAAUUCAGAGACCACAAGACAGCAAGGAGUUUCAAGCUUAAAGAACACUGUUGCUUCAACUGAACUUAGCAAAGAUAGUGUAUUGCAAGCUU